AUAUUCCCACAACCAAUACAUUUUGCUCAUCAUUUCAUACAUACUUUUAACGAGAGAAAACAGAGGAAAAGCAGAGCACUUUUCUUUGCAGCACAAGAAAUUAAGAUGGCGGAGAAAACCAACCAGACUUACCCUUCAGGAUCAGCAAAUACAGGUUACACAAGAUCCGAUGGAGAGUCUCAGCUGUCCUCUCAUGAGCUGAAGCGCAAGAAGAGAAUCAAAUUGGCCAUAUAUAUUGCUAUUUUUGUUGUGUUUCAGACCAUAGUUAUCACCAUAAUGAGUCUCACUGUGUUGAAAGUAAAGACCCCAAAGUUCAGGCUAGGCAACAUCAGCGUCCAAAGCUUUGAGGCAACGUCUUUGAAAUUCAACACCCAAAUCAAGAUCAAGAACUCAGCCAACUGGGGUUCCUACAAGUUCAAAGCUUCCAAUGUCACGUUUCAACACCAAGGCAACAUUGUGGGAGUACUUGAUAUCGAAAAGGGAAAGGUUGGAUGGCUUUCGACCAUAAAAAGAGAUGUGAAGGUGAAUUUGAGUUUGAAUUCAAGUGCAAUAAGUGGUUCAAAUCUUGGAAGCGAAGUGAUGCUCAAUAGCGUUGGUAGAUUGGAAGGAAAAGUCGCAAUUAUGUUCAUAAUGAAGAAGAAGAAGGCUACCAACAUGAACUGCACCAUAGCUUUUGCUGUGAAAGAGCAGUCCGUCAGCUCUGUACACUGCAAGUGAAAACAGAUCUAGAUAUAGUAAUUUGUACUUGUUUUAUGUUUCUGCAAAUUUGAACUUCUGCUGUUUUUUAUAAAUAAAAUUGUUUGGGUGUAUAUGCAUACCAAAGUGUAAUUUUGUACUUGUGCUUUUUUAUUAUAUACAGAUUGUUAGAGCAGUCUUUUAUUUAUUUUAUAUUUAUUUUUUAUAAAACGAAGA
rnacentral:lncRNA from 1 species